GACCGUCGUUUACUGUGGCCGAUGGCGUCCACCUCCGCCAACCGAACCAAGACGACGACGCAGACGUGCUCCGCCUCCGCGGACGAGCCGGCGCACGAGGCAAAAGAACAGGCCAAGUCCUGGGCGGCACUGGCCGCCAGCUGCUGCCUUCUCAUCGUCGGCAUCGGCGGCGGCGCGCUGUUGACGUGGUGGGCUGUAUCCUUCCACCACUCCAACGAGCG
rnacentral:lncRNA from 1 species